AUGUCAGGAAAGCUGGGCACGAGUUUCCACGACUCCGCGGCCGAUGAGGGGACAAUCAGCAGGAGGGAGGCAGAUCUCCUGUGUGACCGGCAGCUCUUCAUCUCCCGCUGUGCAGUAACCGCUCCCCCUGCUGCUCAGCCUCAACGGCCCUGCCCUGCCUACACCGGGGCCGCUCCUCUUGCCUGCCAGUCCCUUAACACAAGGAGUCCAAGAGGAUUCUUGCUAUGUCCCCUGGGAAAAGCCUGUUCCUUUCAGGGACCAGGACUGUUAAACCCAGAAAUCCCACAGCUUCAGAAAGCAGAUGUGAGGAUCCCAAACAGGGCCCUGGGAGUGCCCGUCUCCUCUGAGUCCACCCUUCAUGCGCACACUGCAUGGCUGCUGCUGUGUCUGCCUGGCGUCGGUGGCACACGCUGCUCCCUAGCUUGCUGCUUAGGGCCUGGGCUCCUCCGAUCCACCCGCCCCCCUACGGCUCUCCAGGUCGGGGCCGCCCUAGGUCUGAGAGGAGAGGGAGACAUGAGAUGGACCAUUUCUGUGAAGACUCUGCUGCAGAUUCCUCCUGGUCAAAGCACAGCUGUGUCUGCUUUUUCCCCACCUUUGGAGCUCGGUGGACUUGCAGAGCCGAGGCUGCCUCAGGGCAAAGCCAUUGAGCCUCUUGUCAGAGCUCAUUCUCACCUCUCCCAGUCACCGCUCCGAUUCUCUCACAAGCAGCAGCCUCUUCAUAAAACUUCUCCCCUGCCCCAGUCCCCAGCACCGCACCCCCCGUCUGUACCUGGAGCCCAGGAGAGGAGGCCUGGGCUGAGCCUGCAUCUCUAUGGAGGGGGCCCGGUCCCUGGAGUCACCUCCUUCCAGGCCCUUGUCCCUGCAGUCCCAGCUCCCACCUGGCCCGGAACCCGAGGUGCCCACCGUGGGGCUGCUGCUGUCCCCUCAGGGGUCUGUACUGCAGAGCAGGACAGGAGCUGCCAGGGCUCUCUCUGCAGCCUCCUCUCUGGGGGUCAGAGGGGCAGCAGGCUGCGGAGGGAGGGCAGAGCUCAGGAGUGCAAGGCGGGGGAUCCUGGUGGGCUGAAACCUUCCUGCGGGGUGGGAUCGAACCUACCCACCCCCUCAUGCCUGUCCCGCAGUCCUGACUCCUGCCACUCCUGGGGUUGCCUGUCCAGCGCAUUCAGGAUUAUUAGGCAAAGCAGGACCAAGCCCCUUCCAGAGUCAGGCCAGGCUGCUCGGCACCACGCGUGGGCCUUAAUUAGAAAAUCAGUCUUAGCCACACAAAAUGAAAUUGCGAACUCAGUGACAGGGAUCCCUUGUAGGAAAUGA
rnacentral:lncRNA from 1 species